AGAACGAACGCUGGCGGCAUGCCUAAUACAUGCAAGUCGAACGAACUCUUCGGAGUUAGUGGCGCACGGGUGCGUAACGCGUGGGAAUCUGCCCCUUGGUUCGGAAUAACAGUUGGAAACGACUGCUAAUACCGGAUGAUGACGAAAGUCCAAAGAUUUAUCGCCAAGGGAUGAGCCCGCGUAGGAUUAGCUAGUUGGUGAGGUAAAGGCUCACCAAGGCAACGAUCCUUAGCUGGUCUGAGAGGAUGAUCAGCCACACUGGGACUAAGACGAACGUCCGACGA
rnacentral:rRNA from 1 species